rnacentral:rRNA from 1 species
UACGUAGGGCGCAAGCGUUGUCCGGAAUUAUUGGGCGUAAAGAGCUCGUAGGCGGUCUGUCACGUCUGCCGUGAAAACCCGAGGCUUAACCUCGUGGCUUGCGGUGGAUACGGGCAGACUAGAGGUAGGUAGGGGAGAACGGAAUUCCCGGUGUAGCGGUGAAAUGCGCAGAUAUCGGGAGGAACACCGGUGGCGAAGGCGGUUCUCUGGGCCUUACCUGGCGCUGAGGAGCGAAAGCAUGGGGAGCGAACAGG